CUACGGGGGGCUGCAGUGGGGAAUAUUGGACAAUGGAGGAAACUCUGAUCCAGCAAUUCCGUGUGGGUGAAGAAGGCCUUCGGGUUGUAAAGUCCUUUCAAUAGGGAAGAAAAAAAUGACGGUACCUAUAGAAGAAGCACCGGCUAAUUACGUGCCAGCAGCCGCGGUAAGACGUAAGGUGCAAGCGUUAUCCGGAAUCACUGGGCGUAAAGGGCGUCUAGGCGGCAAUGCAAGUCAGAAGUGAAAAGUCUGGGCUCAACCGAGGCCUUGCUUUUGAAACUGCAUAGCUAGAGUACGAGAGAGGAGGGCGGAACUACAAGUGUAGCGGUGAAAUGCGUAGAUAUUUGUAGGAAUGCCGAUGACGAAGGUAGCUCUCUGGAUCGAUACUGACGCUGAAGCGCGAAAGCUAGGGUAGCAAACAGGAUUAGAUACCCUCGUAGUC
rnacentral:rRNA from 1 species